ACUGCUGCUGACCGACUUACGUCAUCGUGUUACUGACACCUUAUCGUUAUGAGUGUGUCACUCAUAACAUAUUCAUUGACAACUUUUCGGCAACAGAACAACAGAAAUAUUGUAUAUAUAGAACAUUAUCUGUAAAACUUGUAUACUAUAAAAAUUAACUUAUUUAUAAUAUAUUUUAAUGUUUCUGCAAAUAUCAUGAGAAAUUGACAUUAAUAAUUGCCACAUUUAAUAUAAAUAAAAUUAUUACUGUAUACAAAAAUAAGCCAAAACUUUUCUUUCUACAUUUGUCAAUAAGGAAUAGCCUAUUUUUACUAUCUUAACUUUACCAAUACGAAAAAGUUUAUAAUCAGUUUGUAACGACCGUUUUUCGCGCGAACUUUUAGCUCGUCGGGAAAAGGGCUAGGGCGAAAAAGGGUUCAGAGAUAGCAAAACGUGGCGGUUGAUCGGUACAAUUUUAUUACUUAUUCUCUAUUACAUGGAGUUCGCGAAUAUUUACAACGGAUGAAGAAUCUACAAAAUCUUGUUGCGCGUUAUAUACAGUGGUAUUUUACAAUGAUCAGCGACGGGGCGCGUGAUCGCCAGCCGAUCGGCUGUUCGGCCCGGUGAGACAACUACGGUGCGCAGUGCGGGGGGCGGUACGCGCCUCGCGCUCGGUGCUCCGAGUUUGAUGAUCGGCGGAUGUGCGGCGCGGGGACGUUACGCUCGGUCUCGGAUGUUCGGUGACCGGCGGGCGCGCGGUGCGGACGCAUAUGUCUCGCGUUUCCGACGUUUCUCCGAAUUACCUCGUCAAUUCCGUGAAGUGUGGCGAGUUUUCAGGGAACGGCGUCGGCCCUGAGAACGCUCGGGGGGAGAUGGAGAACACUCCGUGCCGGUUACCGGGCUGUGAGGAUGUCGUCGGUGAGGAUUUUUAGCUAGCUUCCGAGAGCUUUCGGCGGAGACAGAGUACGCUCUACCCCCGUGGCUUGCUAGCGAGGAAGGAAAAGAGUCGAGCUAGGCCGAGAACUCUCGGCGAUGAUGGAGAACACUCCACCGUUUUCUGGCUCGUAAGGUUCAGGCUUCUCGUCGGAACGAGUCGGACGGGAUAACGAAAAGUGAAGUCUACGGCUGCCGGGCGGCCUUAUAUAUGGUUCCCGGCAGCCGUUUGGGAAUCUUCGGCGGUCCUCGGCCUCCUCUCAGUGACGCAGAUCGGGAUGCUGGCUCGAGAGGAGGGAGGCUGUAUGCCCCCGAGAUGCGCGUCAUCUCGGUGGUGUGGAGCUUUUAUAGUGGACACGCUUGCCCGAUAUUCGGCCCGGCGGAUAGUCGGCCGGGCCCCGCGGUCGUUGUCAGCCGCUAGUAACGUGGUGCGUUACAAAUUUUGUAUAUGAUUAUAUUUCUAAAUUUAAGAGGUCAUUAUGUCCUUAUGUCCUAGAACGUGCCAUACAUAAAGAAAUGCAUAUAAAUUGUAUGGCAUAUUCCACAACUUGUGUAGAUAAGAUAAAAGUAAUAUAUUUAUUCCUAUUUGCAACAAGUAUUUGUAUCAUUUUAUAAUAUCUAUAACUAAAUUAUAAGUUGAUAAAUGUAAAGUAGUUGAUAAUAUGCGUUGCUUAUGAGUACGCUAGAUAACAUCAUGAUGUAGGUAGCAAUAAUUAAACUCAUAGCGUUAUAUUGUAGAAGAUCUAUCAAUAUGCGUUGAGUUGUAGAAAAUUCAUAACAUUUGACUAUAAUGAAGCUUCUAAUAUAGUGCUAACUAAUAUACUGCGACCUGCAUUGAGAUAUUAACUAGUUGAAAAUAUUCCUCAGUUGUUCUAUAUUUUUUAACAUUGCUUAAUUGUUAAUUUAUAGAGAUUAAGUUAUAAAGGUCUUUUUAAACAUAUUGUUCAUGAAAAAUAAGAAUUUUUAUUGCAUAUAGACUAUAUUGUAUUUUUUUUUUAAUCCGCCUGCGUCCUGGCACAUGCCAUACAAGUUAUAUACGUUUCCUUAUGUAUGGCAUGUUCCAGGAUAUAACAUCUUAAAUUUAGGAAAAUACUCGUUUACAAAACUGAUUAAAAACUUGUUCGUAUUGGUAAAGUUAAAAUAGUAAAAGUUGGUUAUUUACUAUUGACAAAUAUAGAAAAGAAGUUUUGGCUUAUUUUUAUAUACGAUAAUAAUUUUAUUUAUUUUAAAUGCUACAAUUAUUAAUGUAAUCCAUUUUCCAUAAUAUUAGCAGAAACAUUAAAAUAUGUUAUAGAUAAAUUAAUUUUUAAAGUAUACAAGUUUUGCAGAUAAUAUUAUCUAUAUAUCCAAUAUUUGUUAUUCUGUUGCCAAAAAAUUGUUAAAUAAACAGUUCACUAACACAUUAAGUCCCAUGGCGAAACAAGUCGCGAUAUCGAAAAAAUGAUAAGCAGUUCCUUGCAAAGAUUUUGCAACAAAAAUUCAGUAGCAAAAAAUUCUCUUUGAACAGUUUGUUAUAAACAAUUAAGAAAUUAAUAAAUAAAUAAUCCUCCUAGACUAAAAUAAACUAUGCAAAUUGAUUCUACGCGAAAACCAACUACGAAAAUAUGUAUAAUAUGUUUAUGUAAAUAUCCUCAUUUAUGCACACAGAAAUUUUUCAUAAAUUUUUUGUAAUAAAUGGGGCAUUUGCAUGGACACAUUAUAAACCUUUAUCGGUAAUGAUAUGGCAUCUGACGGUAAACCUAUAACGGACAUACAUAUAUACACAUGUAUAUACAGGGUAUACACAUGUGUAUCCCAAAACGCUAUAAUUAAAAGUGUUUUGCUUAACUACUUUUUAAGUUAUAAAACUUGAAUGUUACAGUACCGCUGGCAUUAGCAUUGCCCAAAGUGUACCACGUGGAGGUUGCUUAAUCCGAUUUACACCUCUUGUGUGUGUGUGUGUGUGUGUGUGUGUGUGUGUGUGUGUGUGUGUGUGUGUGUGUGUGUGUGUGUGUGUGUGUGUGUGUGUGUGUUUGUAACGUAUAAUAUUUCAGAGAAUAACACCAGCUAUGCUUGAAAGAGUUCGUAACAAUUUUGACGAAAGAUUGCGUUUAUGUAUCCAAGAAGGGGAACGCGUUUUUGAACACCUACAAUAAAAUAUUUUUUCAUUUUUAGGUAUCCACAUCAAGACGUAAACACGAUCGUUCACACACACACACACGAGGUGUAAAUCCGACCGAGCAACCUCCACGUGAUACAUCUUAGAUAAUGCUAAUGCCGGCGGUAUUGUAACUUUUAAAUCCUAUAACUCAAAAAGUAGUUAAGCAAAACACUUUUAAUUAUAGUAUUUUGCUUAACUACUUUUUGAAUUAUAAGACUUAAAAGUUACAAUACCGCCGGAAAUCUCUCGAGAUGAGCUACAAGAAUAUGUAAUGAAAAGUAGGAGGUUUCAUUAAAAAAAUUAAGUUGAUAUACAAAUGUUCUUCAAAUUUGAUUUCAAGAUCAAGGUCAAGAUCACCAUCUUAUGUCCCCUUUGAAGCCAUACAACUUUUUUUUGAAACAUUUUUCUAUACGAUCGCUCCCUGCAAAGUUACAAGGGGUGAUAGAUUAAAAUAGGACACCUUGUAUAGAUAUACUAAUUUGAGCUAAGACGGAGGAAAAAUUGAAAAAAAUAAUAAAUAAAGUCAUGGAACGAGCAUCUCAAUAUGGAGUAAAAUUUAAUUACAAUAAAUGUAAUAUUAAUGUGGCUAAAAUACGGUAUUUGGGUCAUGCAUUAACCGGAACAGAUAUAAAGAUUGAUGAAUCAAAAGUAAAAGCAAUAAAGGAAAUGAACGAGCCUAAGAAUAAAAAAGAAUUAUUAACAUUUUUAGAAACAGUUAACUAUGUUGCAAAAUUUAUACCUAAUAGUUCGCAAAUAACUGCUGGUUUAAAACAGUUUGUUUUAAAAAAGUAUGUACCUUUUAUAUGGAAUAUAACUCAACAAAAAGCAUUUGACAAAUUAAAAGAAAUGUUAUGUGAACCACCGGUGCUGGCAUAUUUUGAUGUUAGUAAGCCAAUUGUAUUAAGCGUAGACGCUUCAAGUGAAGAUUCUAAGGUGCGUAAUUUUUCAAGAUGGGAGACCAAUAGCUUAUGGAUCGACAGCGUUAACACAAA